UUUCUGGUAUGUAUCACCGUUCCGGAGAGACUGGUGGUUAUAGUUCAGGUAAGUUGUUACACGUUUUGUUCUCUUUAUUCUACAUCACGUUAUUGAUUACACUUUUACAAUACCAUCCUUCAGAGCAUUUGGUUAAAAUUAUCUGCAAAGGCUAACUCAAGGGUUCCACGUGGGUUUUUGUAUACUUUGACAACUAGGACACUAGAAUGCAAUAAUUUGCAACCGCUUUAACUGACCGAGAGUUAGUGUGUACAGUUAUAAGGACGGAACUAGUUCAAGGGUUUGGGGGGAGGGGGGGGUUUGGUUCCCCUCCUUUUCACACAAUUUUGGGGAUCCUGCUGGACUCAAGCCACAUACAGGCUGGCCUUCCCCAAGACAUGGAUUGAGAGCACCUUCUCAUGCAUUUGAACUCUACUUGCAAUUAGGUCGGGCGACUGCAUGGAACUUCAAUUGCUGCUGGGGUCGCUCAAUGUUGCCAUGUGAAUCAUCCCACAGGGUAGAUCCUUCAUUUCCCGAUUACUACUCUUUAUUCCCAUGACUCACCACAGACGCAUCACGUAUCACGUUACACUCUUGCAACCUCGUUAGAUACUCUUGCAACCUCUGAUUUACUUAUGUGGUGUUUUUCCUCGAAUACUGGAAAGAGCGAGCCAUGUUUAUUCCCCCUCUCUGACUUUUUACCCUACGUUUGGACAGAUGCCGCUGCAAACGCUGGUUUUGCGGCCAUCGGAGGGAAUAAAUGGCGUUGCGCGUCAUGGCCCAUAGACGUUAAGUCCCGAC